CAAAUUAGAGCUUGAAAGUUAAGCAUUUCAUUUACAUUGAGAGGUUGUCGUGCGAUUCGAUUUAAUUUGA
rnacentral:tRNA from 1 species